UACGGAGGGAGCUAGCGUUGUUCGGAAUUACUGGGCGUAAAGCGCACGUAGGCGGCUUUGUAAGUUAGAGGUGAAAGCCCGGGGCUCAACUCCGGAAUUGCCUUUAAGACUGCAUCGCUUGAAUCCGGGAGAGGUGAGUGGAAUUCCGAGUGUAGAGGUGAAAUUCGUAGAUAUUCGCAAGAACACCAGUGGCGAAGGCGGCUCACUGGCCCGAUACUGACGCUGAGGUGCGAAAGCGUGGGAGCAAACAGG
rnacentral:rRNA from 1 species